rnacentral:rRNA from 2 species
GGAUGUGAUCAUACUAGCACUAAAGCACCGGAUCCCAUCAUAACUCUGAAGUUAAGCGUGCUUGGGCGAGAGUAGUACUAGGAUGGGUGACCUCCUGGAAGUCCUCGUGUUGCAUUAC